rnacentral:lncRNA from 1 species
CCCGGGGCGGGGCGGGGGUGGGGUGGGGGCGCUCGCGGGUGUGCCCGUGCGCAUGCGCACUGGGAAAGAAAAUGGACUCAAUGGGAGGACUUGCGCAGAUACCAGGACCCUCUGCUCUGAGCCACAAUGAAGAACUUUCCCAGACUAGGCAAGCCCAGGGCUCAUUGGAAAUAUGCUAAUGACCCUGCCAGACUCCAGCAUGAUGAGCAAUUUGGAACGCUGCCCUCUUGCCCACUGUGAUGGAGUGGCUCGAAGCUAUGCAGCUACCAAGAUGACCACGCCUGGCACCUAUCAAGGGCCUUUUGAUAGACUCUGUAGAGUAACUCUGACUGCUGAUCACAACUGCGACCCUCUUCAGCUGGAAGUAGCCAGAAUGGUCUUCACCCUUUGCUCCCUCACAGCAGUUAGGGGUACUUCUUCAGAGGAGGAAUAUUAUAGAUAGGUAAGUUAAUUAGAUAUCUUGUUGGCAGUUAGACAGGGCCUCCCUUAAGGUACCAGCUCUCCAGGAGCCAACACAGCAAGGAACCAACAUGGAAAACAAUUGAGGCACAUUCACUGGUUAGCAUUAUAAAAAGGAAAAGAAGUGCUACUUCCCCUAGAGAUAGACAGCAGUGACUAAUGUUCUAAAUGGGAAAUUCCCUGUAUGUGACUUGUCUUCCCAUUUGACCCCCAUUUAAUCAAUAUUACCUGGUUAACUGUACUUGUAAUCUUAUUGGUUGGUCUUGGUUUUGUCCCACCUCAUGCCCACCUUGAAAAUUUCCACUGGGUUUUAUAGUUUUGUCUCACUUUGUACCCGCCUCACCACAUGGCUUUGCUGUAUAAAACAUCUUUGAAAAGUGAGGUAGGUGGGCAACCCACUUUCUGGUCCCCCUUCUGUCUCUCUUAGAAGUUUUCUGUCUCUCAAUAAAUUUCCCCUACCCCUAAAAAGAAAAAAAAAAAAAAGAGGAGAGGUUUAACUUGGCUUACAGUUUCGGAGGAUUCUUUCCACGGGAGGCUGGUUCCAAGGCAGAAAUGUCAUGGCAGAGGGGCCUAGCAGGGCAGAGAUGCUUAGUUCAGUGCAGCUGGGAAGGAGAACAGGGGAACAGUCUCAGCGAGGAAGGUACUAGGGACUAGGUAUAGACCCUAAUGUCACACAUCCAAGAUCCACAAUGUACCCAGAAAUGUGCUUUACUAAUCCUCUAGGUGGCUCCCAAACCAAUCAAAUUGAAAUUUCACCUCAGUCAUACACAAUUUAAAGAUACCAUUUCCUGGAAACUUAUUUUAUACUGCUUCUAAUUGGAAGUUAAUAGACAUUCUGACUUGUGAAAAAAUUUUAGCCAUUAUUUGUGCAAAUAUUUCUUCUGCGGCAGAGACUUUCUCCUGUGGUCCUAAUUUACAUCAUAGGCCACUGAAAUUACUGAUUUUUCAAAAAACUUUUUGCUCUGUGCUUCAAUUUUGAUUUUCUCUUACUCCGUAUUAAAGUUUUCUGAUACAUUUUUAUGCAUUUUCCAAUCUGCUUAUGUUUGCUUAUUUCUCCAUUGAAGUUAGCAUUAGAUCAUAUAGUUCUAUUGAUAUUGAUUGCAGAAUAUACAAUCUCAUUGUAUAGAAACAUACAUGUUAUUUACCUAACCACCAGUAGACAGAUAUCUAGAUUGUUACUUGUCUUGGGCUAUUAAAAAUUAUGCUGCUAUGGACAUUCAAGUACAUGUAUUUAUGCUGGUUCUUAAUUCUCUUGGGUAGUUUUCUAGAAGUAGAUUUGCUAGAUUGAAUGGUGAAGUUUAUAUCUAACAUUUCAAGGAACCAGCACAAUGUUUCCCAAACUGGCUUACCAUUUUCAUUCCCAGAAGAUUCCCAUUUCUUUGCCAACACUUGGUAUUGUCUGAUGUCUUAUUAUAGCCAUUCUGAUGGGGUUUAUGUUGUUGUUUUAAGUCACACUUCCCUAAUAGCUAAUGACAUUG